UCCUCGAUGCGAGCGGAUUGUCACAUGCUCCCGGCACGGCAAAGUGUUUCCUCGUCGUGCCGAACUCCCUGCGGACGACGGAAAAAGUUUCGUUCGCCGCGGAACGGGAAACCUCCGGACGAAUCGCCGCGAGGAUAAUGGCCGACCGAUAACGGAGUUCUUUCUUCGAUCACGUGGGCCUCGAGUGACUACUCGAAAGAAGCCUUUCGAGGUUGAUACAGAUAGAGUUGCUUCAGUGAUCGGAAUUCAUACCGAGAUGUUCGGGGGACCGAGUGAAUUUUGUGCUACAUUUUUGAGAUUUCGAGAAGAAACGGUUGGAGGAGUAUCGUUGGAAGACAAUGGACUUGGAAACGUUGCCGCUUCGUGGGCGACGGCGAUCACGCUGGCGUAAGAAUAUGGCGGUCGCUCCGGGGACCACGUGACUGGCCACCUGUAUGGAAGACAACGCGCGAACAUUCAGUUGCAGGUGCAGCGGCGACCCAGGGACAGGGGAAAAAAGAGAACGAGAACCUUGAACCAAUCGUAAAUGGCGUGGAGUGAAAGCGGUCGAGUCCCCGCGGUUUUCCCAGAAGAGCGCGAGCCACGAAAUUAUCGACCAGUAAAUCGGAACGAAGGAUCUCUCGUUUUCUUUGCCUAGCGGAUCGCCUCGCGCGCAGAAACGUAACGGUGUAUAUAUACCCGCGCAUCCACGGA